GAUGAACGCUGGCGGCGUGCUUAACACAUGCAAGUCGAACGGAAAGGCCGAAGCUUGCUUCGGUACUCGAGUGGCGAACGGGUGAGUAACACGUGGGUGAUCUGCCCUGUACUUCGGGAUAAGCUUGGGAAACUGGGUCUAAUACCGGAUAUGACGAUCUCUUGGAUGGGGUUGUGGAAAGCUUUUGCGGUAUGGGAUGAGCUCGCGGCCUAUCAGCUUGUUGGUGGGGUAAUGGCCUACCAAGGCGUCGACGGGUAGCCGGCCUGAGAGGGUGUACGGCCACAUUGGGACUGAGAUACGGCCCAGACUCCUACGGGAGGCAGCAGUGGGGAAUAUUGCACAAUGGGCGCAAGCCUGAUGCAGCGACGCCGCGUGGGGGAUGACGGCCUUCGGGUUGUAAACUCCUUUCGCAAUCGACGAAGCCUUUUGGUGACGGUAGGUUGAGAAGAAGCACCGGCUAACUACAUG
rnacentral:rRNA from 1 species